AACUUUAAACGUAGCCCUAAUCCUUACCUAACCCAAACCAAUACUAUAACCUCAAGCCUACCCUACACGAACCAUAACCCUAACCAUAACAAUAACCCUAACACUAACAGUAAGCCAUACCCUAAUCUUACCCUAAGCGGAACCCUAAACCUAAUCCUAACACUAACCUACCCCUAACCAUAAAGCUAAACAGAACACUAACUAAAACCUUAACCCUAAUCCUAAUCCUAACCAUAACCCUAACCCUAUCCCUGAACCUAACCGUAACCCGAACCCUAACCCUAACCCUAACCCUGAACAGAAUGCUAACCCUAAGCCUAACACUAACCCUAACCCUAAC
rnacentral:lncRNA from 1 species